rnacentral:rRNA from 1 species
UUUAUAUAAAAUAUUUUGAUGAAUAUUUAUACUAAUAUUUAACAUAAUUCAUAUUACUAUAUNUUUUAGUAUAUGAAAUUUUACUUUGAGAAAAUUAGAGUGCUUAAAGCAGGCAUAUGCCUUGAAUACUCCAGCAUGGAAUAAUAUUAAAGAUUUUUAUCUUUCUUAUUGGUUCUAAGAUAAGAAUAAUGAUUAAUAGGGACAGUUGGGGGCAUUUGUAUUUAACAGUCAGAGGUGAAAUUCUUAGAUUUGUUAAAGACAAACUAAUGCGAAAGCAUUUGCCAAGGAUGUUUUCAUUAAUCAAGAACGAAAGUUAGGGGAUCGAAGACGAUCAGAUACCGUCGUAGUCUUAACCAUAAACUAUGCCAACUAGAGAUUGGAGGUUGUUCCUUACUCCUUCAGCACCUUA